UACGGGGGGGGCAAGCGUUGUUCGGAAUUACUGGGCGUAAAGGGCUCGUAGGCGGCCAUCUAAGUCAGACGUGAAAUCCCUCGGCUUAACCGGGGAACUGCGUCUGAUACUGGAUGGCUGGAGUUUGGGAGAGGGAUGCGGAAUUCCAGGUGUAGCGGUGAAAUGCGUAGAUAUCUGGAGGAACACCGGUGGCGAAGGCGGCAUCCUGGACCAAUACUGACGCUGAGGAGCGAAAGCCAGGGGAGCAAACGGG
rnacentral:rRNA from 1 species